AAAGAAGCGAUGGCUGCCCUGAUGGAAGUGACUUGCAACAGCGAUUCAGACUCAUCCAGUGAACGAGAAAUGGAACGCGAAGUUACAGUGAUUUGUGGUUGCACUAAGAAGAGCAAGUGUGCCAGAGCGCGGUCAAGUGGUCGUGGAUGCGUUUGCAAGGCAAACAAGAUCAACUGCACGCCUUUGUGUAACUGUAGCCGCACGUGUUGCACAAAUAGGGCUGACGCCACAAAUGAUCCGUCAUCUGCGAGUGCUGUCCAUCGUCAGCUUCCUCCGAGGGAGCGCUUCUAUUCGGGAGAUGAAGUCAGGGUGAAUUGAUAUCUGCAUGAUAUUACCUGCACGACUACUUUGUCUCUGAAUUAACUUUGCUGUUGGAGGUGGUGGUAUUGGAGCUAUUGUAGGAGCAAUGUGACAAGGAUGUUCUGCAGCGAUUUGUGUUCUGUCAUCUAUUGUUCCUGACGCUGACAUUCGCAUCUGGAGGCAUCUUCUCGUCAAUUCAGAUUGAACGAUGUACAGAAAAGAGCAAUUUUGCUGAAGUUGUUGCCAGACAAAAGAAUUGAAGAUGCCAUCAAGACAUUGUUAACAAAAAAAGGGUACCCAUUUCUGGAGUAGCAUCUCUUGGAACUGCUCCAUUUGCCACUGUGGCCUUGGAGACAUUUCCACUGGAUGUUCAGUGUACACCCUAUGUUAUUCUUUUUAUAAGAAAUUGAUGCCUGGCAAUUUGGUUGUCUGCAGAUUUUGCCCAGAAGCUGGAUUAUACAGUCAACAUCACACACAACACGUUGUUCAUUCACAGCUUCUUCAGGACUAUUUUCUAGCCUGCUUGCUGUCAAAAACGAUUCAGAAUUGUUGCCUAUGAUAAUAGAGGUUGGAUAAUAAAUUAUACAAUACAAUGAGA